AGGACGAACGCUGGCGGCGUGCUUAACACAUGCAAGUCGAACGGGAGUAUUGAAGAAGCUUGCUUUAGAGAUACUUUAGUGGCGGACGGGUGAGUAACGCGUGAGGAGCUGUCCUAUGCAGGGGGACAACAGCUGGAAACGGCUGCUAAUACCCCAUAAGCCGAGAGGUAAAAGGAUCAAUCCGGCAGAGGAGGUACUCGCGUCCUAUCAGCUAGUAGGUGAGGUAACGGCUCACCUAGGCGAAGACGGGUAGCCGGCCUGAGAGGGCGAACGGCCACACUGGAACUGAGAUACGGUCCAGACUCCUACGGGAGGCAGCAGUGGGGAAUAUUGGGCAAUGGGGGAAACCCUGACCCAGCGACGCCGCGUGGGUGAAGAAAUCCUUCGGGAUGUAAAGCCCUGUUGUAUGGGAAGAGCGGAAGACGGUACCAUACGAGGAAGCCCCGGCAAACUACGUGCCAGCCGCAGC
rnacentral:rRNA from 1 species